rfam:Peniophora sp. CONT PENSPscaffold_63_Cont110, whole genome shotgun sequence.
GGGCAUGUAGCACAGUGGUAGCGCGCUUGCUUCGCACUUACGUAAGUUCGAUUUGCAUGAGGUCUUGGGUUCAAUCCCCAACUUGUCCA